UACGUAGGGACCAAGCGUUGUCCGGAAUCAUUGGGCGUAAAGAGCGUGUAGGCGGCUUGUUAAGUCUUGCGUGAAAUCUCGGGGCUCAACCCCCGAGCGGUCGUGAGAAACUGGCAGGCUAGAGUGCGGGAGAGGAGAGUGGAAUUCCUGGUGUAGCGGUGAAAUGCGCAGAUAUCAGGAAGAACACCCGUGGCGAAGGCGGCUCUCUGGAACGCAACUGACGCUGAGACGCGAAAAGCGUGGGGAGCAAACAGG
rnacentral:rRNA from 1 species